rnacentral:pre_miRNA from 1 species
AACCUUCCCAGGGUGGCUGGCCCCCAGGCUGGCCUGGGUGAGGUUCUCUUGGAAAGGCUCACCCACCCUCAAGCACGACUGGGAGC